rnacentral:rRNA from 1 species
UACGAAGGGGGCUAGCGUUGCUCGGAAUCACUGGGCGUAAAGGGUGCGUAGGCGGGUUUUUUAAGUCAGAGGUGAAAUCCUGGAGCUCAACUCCAGAACUGCCUUUGAUACUGAAAGUCUUGAGUAUGGGAGAGGUGAGUGGAACUGCGAGUGUAGAGGUGAAAUUCGUAGAUAUUCGCAAGAACACCAGUGGCGAAGGCGGCUCACUGGCCCAUUACUGACGCUGAGGCACGAAAGCGUGGGGGAGCAAACAGG